CCUACGGGAGGCAGCAGUGAGGAAUAUUGGUCAAUGGGCGGGAGCCUGAACCAGCCAAGCCGCGUGAGGGAAGAAGGUACAGCGUAUCGUAAACCUCUUUUGUCAGGGAACAAAGGCGGGGACUAGUCCCCGGAUGAGAGUACCUGAAGCAAAAGCAUCGGCUAACUCCGUGCCAGCAGCCGCGGUAAUACGGAGGAUGCGAGCGUUAUCCGGAUUUAUUGGGUUUAAAGGGUGCGCAGGCGGCCUGUUAAGUCAGCGGUCAAAUGCCGGGGCUCAACCCCGUCGAGCCGUUGAAACUGGAUGGCUGGAGUUGGAGAGAAGUACGCGGAAUGCGCGGUGUAGCGGUGAAAUGCUGAGAUAUCGCGCAGAACCCCGAUUGCGAAGGCAGCAUACCGGCUCCACACUGACGCUGAGGCACGAAAGCGUGGGUAUCGAACAGGAUUAGAUACCCGGGUAGUC
rnacentral:rRNA from 1 species